rnacentral:lncRNA from 1 species
GGUUCCGGUGUCGAAUUAGACACUUCCGGGAACCCGGAUUCGUACGAUUAUCCGGCGAUGAUCGUAUUGUUGUGUGACCUUGUGUUCGCUGCCAAGGCAUCCAAAUUGGAGUGCUUUGGGGCAGCGGGUGACUCGUGGCACGAGUCGGUGAGUUUCGGGGCACUCAGUGGGCCCCGACGGCGUUCCGGUGUGAUUUUCGGGACUUCCGGUGAGUUGCGGGGAUCGGUUUUGGGAAACCGAUUCGGGGAUCUUGUGUGGGGAUUUGUGAGUCUCGUGCUUUGGGUUAGUGGUUUGGAAACUGACUUAGUGGAUCUUCUUAGGUCCGGUAGACUCUGUGCGUACCCAGUGUUCCGACGCGACAGUGACAGGUGGGUGCUUCGAGCUGGUUGUCGGUGAGAGCGUUUCACCUCCUUCUCCUGUUUUUCUAUUCCAGUAUAUUAGCUCUACAUGUCAGUUGUUUGGUUAUCGUUUGGUUAUCGUAUUUCGUUGACUGCAUUGGUUAGUGAAUGAUAGACAUGUAGAGCAAGUUGCAUUUGUAUUUCAGUAUCUCUGUGGACCUUGGGUCCAGGCAACACAUUGACUCUCUGGUCGUGUGUUUCGAUCUGGUUGAUCGAGGUUCGGCGUUGUACGCCCUAGCUUCUAUUUCAGUUUGGCAUUGUACGCCCUCGUUGUUGGCUUCGGCCUAGGCACCGGCUUUAACCGGGUUUGUUUUUGUUUGAGCAUACCAGCAUGACUUAGUCACGGCACUUGGGGGUAUUCAUGACACCAGAUCGGUUUGGCCACCGAUCGGAGGUGUACUUAUCCAGAUAGGUCGUCCUGCGGGGCGGAUGGAUCAGGUCGGUGCAGUUAGUGACAGGCAGCGCUUGAGGUCUGCGGACCGAUACAGCAGGCACAGAUUGGGUACAGUUUCUGGUUCAGUACAUUGAGGCAUUCUUUGCAUUAUUUUCUAUACAGUAGCAGGUUUAUUUAUUGCUUCCUAUUUAUCUGUUGUAGCUACUGUAGUUCUAUUUCAUAUCAGCUUACAGAUAUAUAUUUGGUUAUCUAUCUCCUUUGGUUUUCGGUGAUUACGACUUGCCUUCGUGGCUCUGUCGUACCCACUGAGAAAACCAUGGUUGCGGUUUCUCACCCCCCAUUUCCCCCCCCAGGUGACAGAGACGAGGAGUUGGAUUUUGGGCUCGACGAGAGGACGAUCUAGCUAGUCUGGUAUAGCGACCGUCACCCUGGUUAUCUCUUUUCCGCACUUAGUAGUUUUCUUAAUAAUGGUUCAGUUAGUUGAUCUUAUGUAUGCUUGAAUGUAUGUGAACUGUGGUGUUGGUUUCUUUUAUACAUGAGAUUUGAGUUUUCGAUCUGUGGUUUUGGUUCUGUGGAGAUUUGGUUUUCUUGUAGUGAUGCAUCGUGGUUUUCUACCCCUCGAGGUAGUCGGUUUUCAAAAAUAGAGUUUCUGUGUGGGAAACAGUUUUAAAAAGGUUUUCGAACGGUUUUUAUGAAUGAAUGAAUUAGAGUUUAAAAACAAAAGUUUUCGUGUGGGGAGCACUUUUAAGUAGAAUGUUUGUUGUAUUGUGCAUUGCAUCAUCCAGCGCCUAAGGAGUGCUUAGAGGCAUGCAUCAUUCUAAGGAUUGUUAGCUGUAUGGAAAUACAUAUCAUGCUUUGGUUGUUGUUUGGUAAAUGUAGGUUGUGGUUGUGAUCCUGUUGUAUCGUUGGUACGCCGUGCAAAUACAAAGGAGACUCUGUCCGAGUGGACAGAGGAACUUUGUAUUUGUGGCGGGUC